CCUGGAUCCAAUACCCUCCCAACUCGGGCUCCCAGAUCUUGAAGGUGGAGAAGGCAGCGCUGUUGCAAAUAUUUCAACGCUGCAACUAGCAUCUCUGUCCGAGGGGCUAGUGCAGAUAAGAAGGUGAAAAAAACGCACUCGCGAUGAAAUGUUCUCUGAGUUCAUGGAGUCCACCCAAACUGAAAGAGCCCAGAAGAAUGUGUGAAGGCAGA